AUUGAACGCUGGCGGCAUGCUUUACACAUGCAAGUCGAACGGCAGCGCGGGCUUCGGCCUGGCGGCGAGUGGCGAACGGGUGAGUAAUACAUCGGAACGUGCCCAGUAGUGGGGGAUAGCUCGGCGAAAGCUGGAUUAAUACCGCAUACGACCUGAGGGUGAAAGCGGGGGAUCUUCGGACCUCGCGCUAUUGGAGCGGCCGAUGGCAGAUUAGCUAGUUGGUGGGGUAAAGGCCUACCAAGGCGACGAUCUGUAGCUGGUCUGAGAGGACGACCAGCCACACUGGGACUGAGACACGGCCCAGACUCCUACGGGAGGCAGCAGUGGGGAAUUUUGGACAAUGGGCGAAAGCCUGAUCCAGCAAUGCCGCGUGUGUGAUGAAGGCCUUCGGGUUGUAAAGCACUUUUGGCGGGAACGAAAAGGACUGUGCCAAUACCACGGUUCGAUGACGGUACCCGCAGAAUAAGCACCGGCUAACUACGUG
rnacentral:rRNA from 1 species